rnacentral:rRNA from 1 species
GGCGUGCUAUAAUGCAGUCGAGCGGACAGAUGGGAGCUUGCUCCCUGAUGUUAGCGGCGGACGGGUGAGUAACACGUGGGUAACCUGCCUGUAAGACUGGGAUAACUCCGGGAAACCGGGGCUAAUACCGGAUGGUUGUUUGAACCGCAUGGUUCAGACAUAAAAGGUGGCUUCGGCUACCACUUACAGAUGGACCCGCGGCGCAUUAGCUAGUUGGUGAGGUAACGGCUCACCAAGGCGACGAUGCGUAGCCGACCUGAGAGGGUGAUCGGCCACACUGGGACUGAGACACGGCCCAGACUCCUACGGGAGGCAGCAGUAGGGAAUCUUCCGCAAUGGACGAAAGUCUGACGGAGCAACGCCGCGUGAGUGAUGAAGGUUUUCGGAUCGUAAAGCUCUGUUGUUAGGGAAGAACAAGUGCCGUUCAAAUAGGGCGGCACCUUGACGGUACCUAACCAGAAAGCCACGGCUAACUACGUGCCAGCAGCCGCGGUAAUACGUAGGUGGCAAGCGUUGUCCGGAAUUAUUGGGCGUAAAGGGCUCGCAGGCGGUUUCUUAAGUCUGAUGUGAAAGCCCCCGGCUCAACCGGGGAGGGUCAUUGGAAACUGGGGAACUUGAGUGCAGAAGAGGAGAGUGGAAUUCCACGUGUAGCGGUGAAAUGCGUAGAGAUGUGGAGGAACACCAGUGGCGAAGGCGACUCUCUGGUCUGUAACUGACGCUGAGGAGCGAAAGCGUGGGGAGCGAACAGGAUUAGAUACCCUGGUAGUCCACGCCGUAAACGAUGAGUGCUAAGUGUUAGGGGGUUUCCGCCCCUUAGUGCUGCAGCUAACGCAUUAAGCACUCCGCCUGGGGAGUACGGUCGCAAGACUGAAACUCAAAGGAAUUGACGGGGGCCCGCACAAGCGGUGGAGCAUGUGGUUUAAUUCGAAGCAACGCGAAGAACCUUACCAGGUCUUGACAUCCUCUGACAUCCUAGAGAUAGGACGUCCCCUUCGGGGGCAGAGUGACAGGUGGUGCAUGGUUGUCGUCAGCUCGUGUCGUGAGAUGUUGGGUUAAGUCCCGCAACGAGC